rnacentral:rRNA from 1 species
AUUGAGCGCUGGCGGCAGGCUUAACACAUGCAAGUCGAGCGGGGUGAUGGUGCUUGCACUAUCACUUAGCGGCGGACGGGUGAGUAAUGCUUAGGAAUCUGCCUAUUAGUGGGGGACAACAUCUCGAAAGGGAUGCUAAUACCGCAUACGUUCUACGGGAGAAAGCAGGGGAUCACUUGUGACCUUGUGCUAAUAGAUGAGCCUAAGUCGGAUUAGCUAGUUGGUGGGGUAAAGGCCUACCAAGGCGACGAUCUGUAGCGGGUCUGAGAGGAUGAUCCGCCACACUGGGACUGAGACACGGCCCAGACUCCUACGGGAGGCAGCAGUGGGGAAUAUUGGACAAUGGGGGGAACCCUGAUCCAGCCAUGCCGCGCGUGUGAAGAAGGCCUUAUGGUUGUAAAGCACUUUAAGCGAGGAGGAGGCUUACCUAGUUAAUACCUGGGAUAAGUGGACGUUACUCGCAGAAUAAGCACCGGCUAACUCUGUGCCAGCCGCCGCCGUAA